ensembl:lncRNA
UGCUUGCUUUUUUUUGUUUAUUUUGCUUUGCUUUUUUGAUUUUUUUAUGGAUUGCAAUUUGUGUUUAGCUGUCCUGGUCACAUAGCAGAUUUGUACAUGUCAGGAAAUUAGAAAACCACUUUCAGAAGAAUAACAAUGUUCACUUAGGCCUUAUCUUCUAAAAUUGUUUAUAGAGGUGCAUAAAUUUAUGUAUAAGAACACUUGUCUCAUUGGUGAUGUAUUGCAAUUUGGGUUUAGUAUGGCCUUAACUGUCAAGUGGUAAUGUAUUUUAAUGUAAACAGUUUUGUUUUAACUAGUGGCUUAAAGAGAUACUGGUGAACCACCAGCAUUUCUCUGUGAAAUUUCUUGAGAUUCUGUGCAUUUGCAGUUUUAUUUUUUUUAGUUUAACAUUGGUUAAUUUUUACCUCCGCAUUCAUUUCUUUAUUUUUAUAGCAACUUUUAAACAUAAUCAUUCACAUAUUUUUAAAUGCAUUCUACAUAAUAAAUUUAUCUAAUUUCAUUUAUUAAGUUAAGUAAGACUAUGAAAUCUCUUAAGUACAAGUUUUUUCUCCCAUUCAUAAUUUCCUGUUAGUAUUCUGGAUUCUUUCUUUUUUGCAACAUCUUCCUGUACAGCAAUGUCUGGGAACAGGUGUUCAGUUUAUGACUAAAUGAACCUUCACUAAGACCACAUAGGAGUUUUAGACAUUAUACUGGUUUAAAACUUGAUCAUCUGUGCAGCUUCACUGUUUUGCUUGUACUUCCAUUAACUACAAAUCAUAGCAAAAUGUUUUUAUCUCUUGUGAAUGUUGACGUUUUCAGACUCAGGGCAAUGCCUAAGUUGCCUGUGAAGUUGCACAGUUCAUCAACUUUUUCUUUCUCCGACCUCUGGCACUUUUUGCUGUAAUACUGAUUCCCAGUUGCUUCUGCCUCUGAUCAGCUAUUUACCAGUCGGCAAGUGUGCUUCCAGUUGGAACAAGAGAUGGAACAGAAGAGCAGUGUCUGAGGAGUCCCAAAGGGAACAUUCAUACGGGAUUGAUCUUGUCAUUUCAGUCUUCUUGCUCUUUAUUGAAAGAAAGGAUAAAAAGCCCCUUGCAUCCACACUCUUGCAAGAGAACAUCUUUCUGAAAAGGACCACAGAACACUGGCAACUGCUGAGAGAAAGCAUUAGUAGAAAGAAACAGAGUGAUUGUAAGAGAGAUAAAGAUUUUGUGCAAGAGAACUGCUGAGAUUUUAUAAUGCCAACUACAGAAGAAAAGAAAUUGAGAAAAUACAGGGCACCAUCCAGCAAGUAGUCACUUGAGGCCAAUAAAUUAUGGCUACAACUAUGGAACAGAGAAAAUAAUCUACUUACUAACGUACACAGGAUGAACUACGGAAAGUUCAUGCAAGGAAAAAAAAGUAAAAAACAAACAUGAAGAGCUAUACUUGCUUGUUUUUUGGUGAGAAAAAGGACAAAUGGAGAGGUGGUCUGUAAAAACAUAAUAAAUAGCAACUGCAGUUUCCCCAGUGUUUUUUUAUUUUGUCUGGAAUUACUUACAUGAGAUGAUCAUCAACGUUAUUUGUUGAGGAAGCAUCUUCCAGUGUCCUGGUGGAUGAAAAGAUGAACAUGAGCCAGCAUUAUGAUCUUGCCGCCCUGAAGGUCGACUGUAUCUUUGUCUGCAUCAGAAGAGGGGUGGCCAGCAGGGAAACAAAGGUGAUUGUCCUCUUCUACUCUGCCUUUGUGAUACCCCCAUGUGGAUUACUUCAUUGCUGCCUUUGAGUAUUUGAAGAGAACUUACAAAGAGGAGAGAGACUGACUUCUUACGUGGUCUGAUAAUGUUGGGGGAGCUUAUCAAUGUUUAUAAAUGUAUAAAGGGUGGGUGUCAAAUAGAUGGAGUCAGGCUUUUUCCAGUGGUUCCCAGCAACAAGACAAGGGGCAAUAGGCACAAGCUAGAACAUAGGAAGUUCCAUACAAAUGUGUGGAAAAGCUUCAUUACAUUGUGGGUGUCAGAGCACUGAAACGUUGCCCACAGAGGCUGUGAAGUCUCCUUCUCCAAAGUUAUUCAUCUGGACACUUUCCUGUGCAACCUGAUGUAGGGAACUGCUUAAGGUGGGGGCUGGAAUGGAUGAAUUCCAACAGGUCCCUUGAGCCCCUACAAUUCUGUGAUUCUGCAAUUCUGUGACUUUCAACCUUUCAUCCAUUCAACACAUUGGAUCCUGAAGGUUUUGUUUAUAAUUAUUUUUUUUUCAUUAGAAGACUUGUAAGUAUUUUGAAUGUUAACAAGUAUAGAUGGUCUUAUGCAUGGCAAAACUUAAUACUUUAGCCCUUAUCAUAAAAUUAGGAAAUAUUUGCUGUUCUGAUUUCUGUUUUCCUUAUGAAUCACCUUAUAUUCUCUACUUGCAAUAACUCAGUAAGUAAGACAUUUGAUUCUGCUGUUAACAAUAGGGCUUAAAGGGUGCAUCUCUGCUUUUUUAACUGGUACAAGAUACAGGGCUUGACACAACAUUCAUUAUAUAGUUUUUCUGAUUUCAGUAGAUUUUGGAGCCUGCCUUAAGUGAGCUUUACAUUUCUGAUUCACUCAGGAAAUUAGCCCCCAAACCUCAUGACAAGACAUGACCUCAUCCUUAUAAAGAAGAUUGGACGAUUUGUUCCAGUAAUGGGUAUAAUGGCAAAAAGCCAAGGAGGAUGGGGAUGUGUGUAAAAAUCUUGUCUGUUAUUUCUGUCAACCCAGGAAUAAUGUAAGCUUUGUACAACAUACAAGGCAUCACUAAGAACCUUUGCGUAAGUUGUUAAAGAUGAACUCUGCCCCCUGCAAUACUCAGACAAUUCUUACUGAGAUCAGUAAGUCUGGUCCAUGUGUGUCUGAAUUUAAAAUUUCUUCUAGACAAUAUUGUUUUGUAAUGAUUUCUUUCCAGUGAAUGCUCUCUCAAAUUAUUUCCCUUUCAGCUGAUUGAAUGAGAUGAUUUUUCCUUAGUUCUUCCUUAUUGUUACUUCAGUUUCUCAAGUGAAGUUUCAGAUAGUGAGCUCUUUCAGACCCUUCCACUUUGGGUCAAGUGCUGUCUUUUACUAUUCAUUUCGUGCUCAGAGGUGUAUUCUUAGACCCACAGUGUUAAGUAUUCUUAAUGUUAAAAAAAAGGCAAAUCGUUAUAACAUGAGGGUUUUGUCAAUAAAAUACAUCUGUGGGUAAGAACCGGGUACCUUCUGAUUCAUUUAGAAGCCUUCACUCUACUUUGUUAUACUCAGCCUAAAGUCACAGACUUCCCAUUUACAGAUACUGAUCACCAACAUAAAAAUCCAUGGGAACAUUUAAGAUUUUUUUCCAUAUUUAAAUGUAAUGCCUUUCCAGACAAUGUGUCUUAGUCAAACACAAGUUAUUUGGCUCAGCUUUUUCUGGCAGAGAGAAUUUAAAUCUUCACUGUAGUACACCAGUUGCUGCUUCAUCAGAUCUUUUUUACAGGCUUGUAAGUCUGAGCUGUCACUCAGAUCUGCCAAGUAGAUUGUAU